rnacentral:tRNA from 1 species
UCCCUGGUGGCUCAGUUGGUAAAGCAUCUGCCUACAAUGCAGGAGACCUGAGUUCAAUCCCUGGGUUGGGAA